rnacentral:snRNA from 1 species
GUGCUUGCUUUGGCAGCACAUAUGCUAAAAUUGGAUGGAUAUAGAGAUUAGCAUGGUCCCUGCAUGAGGAUGACAUACAAAUUUGUGAAGUGUUUCAUAUUUUC